CACCUGUUCCCAUUCCGAACACAGAAGUUAAGCUUUCUUACGCCGAAAGUACUCUGCGGGACACCGCUUGGGAGGAUAGGUCAUCGCCGCUU
rnacentral:rRNA from 1 species